ensembl:lncRNA
GGGAUAAGGGAUAGAUAAAUUGUUCUUUCUUUUUCUAACUUUACUUGAGUCAGAUUUUCUAUAAACUUGCACAUCACAAUGUCAUUUUCAAGUAAUUGGGCAUACAUUCUUCAAUUAACCAAUCAAUAAGUGUUUGCUUAUUGCACAAAUUGGGCUAAGUGUUGGUUAAUACAAAGGCAAAAGUGAAAUAUCUGCUUGGGGUUACCUUCUAAUGGCAGACUUUGUGUAUGCAUUAUUUGUGUGUUUAUAUGCAUCAAAUGUAUUAAAUAAAUAGAUGAUAGUUUGAAGUAGGGAUGGAGUGAGAAGUGUGAGGAUAAAUACAUUCCAGGGUUCCAUAGCCUAACGUGUUAAACCAGGACUGGAUCCAAAGCCUUUUUGGAUUUGAGGAGCUGUAAUAGGAAGGAAAUAAGGAAAUGGAUAAAGAAGUAUAAUGUUAAGCUCAAUGUUAAAGGAAAUCAGACAUUCUGAAAGUCAAAGAUAAUAAGAAUUCAUUCCAGGUAUGGGGACAGAUCAUUGCAAAGGCAUAGAGAUAAAUGAUAGAGCAUAAUAUGAAAACCAGUAUAACACUGUCAAAGUAUAUGAGGGACACUAACGUGUAAGAAGACUGAAAAGGUAGAAAUCAGCCAAGUUUGGAAGAGUUUUAAAUGAGUUUUUCUUUAAAAACUAUUUGAAUGCAAAUAGAAAACAACUAGGCAUAAUUAGUCAAAUUGGUAGGGUUGGGAUAAGGAUUGAUGGAUAAAAAAAUGUUGUUUGACAAGUGCACAGAUCACGUUUCCUCAUUUUAAAGAAAAUGUGACUAAUAUAAUUUCCUUUUUUAUUUUAAUAACUUUUUAUUGACAGAACCCAUGGCAGGGUAACUUUUUACCACAUUAUCCCUUGCACUCACUUUUGUUCCGAUUUUUUCCCUCCCUCCCUCCACCGCCUCCCCAAGAUGGCAAGCAGUCCUAUACAUGUUAAAUAGAUUACAGUAGAUCUUGGAUACAAUAUAUGUGUGCAGAACCGAACAGUUCUCUUGUUGCACGGGGAGAAUUGGAUUCAGAAGGUAGAAAUAACCCGGGAAGAAAAACAAAAAUGCAAGCAGUUUACAUUCAUUUCCCAGUGUUCUUUCUUUGGGUGUAGCUGCUUCUGUCCAUCCUUGAUCAACUGAAACUGAGUUGGAUCUUCUCUUUGUCGAAGGAAUCCACUUCCAUAAGAAUACAUCCUCAUACAGUAUCAUUGUUGAGGUGUAUAAUGAUCUCCUGGUUCUGCUCAUUUCACUUAGCAGCAGUUCAUGUAAGUCUUGCCACUCCUCUCUAUAUUCAUGCUACUGGUCAUUUCUUAAAGAACAAUAAUAUUCCAUAACAUUCAUAUACCACAAUUUACUCAACCAUUCUCCAAUUGAUGGGCAUCCAUUCAUUUUCCAGUUGCUAGCCACUACAAACAGGGCUGACACAAACAUUCGUGCACAUACAGGUCCCUUUCCCUUCUUUAUGAUCUCUUUGCCAUAUAAGCCCAAGUAAUACUGCUGGAUCAAAGAGUAUGCACAGUUUGAUAACUUUUUGAGCAUAGUUCCAAAUCACUCUCCAGAAUGGCUGGAUGUGUUCACAAUUCCACCAACAAUGUAGUGUCCCAGUUUUCCCACAUCCCCUCCAACAUUCCGCAUUAUCUCUCCCUGUCAUUCUAGCCAAUCUGACAGGUGUGUAGUGGUAUCUCAGAGUUGUCUUAAUUUGCAUUUCUCUGAAUAAUAAUGAUUUGGAGCCUAUUUUCAUAUGGCUAGAAAUAGUUUUAAUUUCUUCGUCUGAGAAUUGUCUGUUCAUAUCCUUUGACCAUUUAUCAAUUGGAGAAUGGCUUGAUUUCUUUUAAAUUAGAGUCAAUUCUCUAUAUAUUUUGGAAAUGAGGUUUUUAUCAGAACCUUUGACUGUAAAAAUGUUUUCCCAGUUUAUUGUUUCCCUUCUAAUCUUGCCUGCAUUAGUUUUGUUUGUACAAAAACUUUUCAAUUUGAUAUAAUCAAAAUUUUCUAUUUUGUAGUCAAUAGUGAUAUCUAAUACUUCUUUGGUCAUAAAUUCCUUCCUCUUCCACAGGUCUGAGAGGUAAAUUAUCCUAUGCUCUUCCAAUUUAUUUAUAAUCUCAUUCUUUAUGCCUAGGUCAUGAACCCAUUUUGACCUUAUCUUGGUGUACGGUGUUAAAUGUGGGUCAAUGUCUAAUUUCUGCCAUACUAGUUUCUAAUUUUCCCAGCAAUUUUUGUCAAAUAAUGCAUUCUUAUCCCCAAAACUGGGGUCGAUUAAUAUCAUUUCCAUCAUUGGAGACAUAAACUUUAUUUAGACAUACCUACCAGAUGAACUUCUUGGAAGGCAAACUUUUUUUUUAUUUAGGGAAAGAGAUGGCUCUAAAUAUUGGGAAGGGAUAUAAAUUUUGGUCAUUUUGCAUUGAUUAAACAUUUUCGCUUGAAAAUCUUGAAACUCUUUCCAGAGAAAUGAAAUUUUCCAUUUUACCACCAAGAAAAGCUAGGCUGUGAGAGAGUAAGUUGAUAGCAUAAAUGGGAAAAGGAAACAUAGUAUUUCAUUCUUUGCCUCAUUUUUUUUCUUAAUAAACUAUUGAUUUAGUAGGUCAGACUAAUCUUUCCCUUUUUUAUAUAUAAAAAAACAUACUGUGAUAGAGAACCUAAAACUAAGUGUGAGGUUGCACACCCUCCUGAUGCUUUUAUUACUCACCAUUAGAGAUCCAACAUAAUAACAACAAAAAGCCCUUUUUGCAUACUCAUAUCUUGUUGUUGGAGCUGUUUUACUAUCACAUUCCCAUCAUCUUAUAAUUGGUCUAUUAAUUUAUUUUCCUAUAAUCUGUUGUAAAGUGUUUUACUUCCCAUAUUUUCCAUCAUAAUGCUAAUGUUUCUGCCAUAGGGAAAAACCUGAAUGGUUUGUGAAAAACCUGAAUGAUUUGUGAAAAAUCUGUAUGGUUUGUCUUUGUUUCUGUAUGUACACAAUUCUCUACCAUAGUGGCUUUGGCAAAGAAUAAUAGGAAGAAAAAAUUCCCUACAUUUGUCAGAGGUGAUUUUUCAAUUUUUUAAAAAAAAUAAUGCAAUGAACAAUGUUAAUUUUAUUCUGAGAGGCAAUGUACCACAGUAGUUAAAGUACUGAGCUUUAAGGCUCAAUAGGCAGGAAGGCCUGGGUUUGGAUUCUAGCCCAAGAUACUGCCUAGCUGUGUGACCCCAUAUAAAUGGCUUUACAUUUUGAUCCUAUUUCCUCAUGUUCAAUUCCAAAUAACAGUGAGUUUCUACAGUAUAGAGUAAUUUUGAGGAUCAAAUGACCUAAUGUAAAGAACUUAGCAAAUUUUAAAACCCUAUAUGAAAAUUAUCAAGGCCUAAUGGCUAAAGAAGAAAUUUAAUUCUGAGUUCAGAUUUCUCUGAUCUAUUCUGGGUAAGUUGCUUAAUUUCUCUCAACUCCCCAAACUAUAAAUUGCAGUGUUGAUAUGCACGUAGUAGAAUAUCCUUAGAGAGAAUUAUCUAUGUUAAUGGAAUUUCUGACACACCAGGAUUUGUUGU